CUUGUACACACCGCCCGUCACACCAUGGGAGCGGGUUCUGCCAGAAGUAGUUAGCCUAACCGCAAGGAGGGCGAUUACCACGGCAGGGUUCGUGGCUGGGGUG
rnacentral:rRNA from 1 species